rnacentral:lncRNA from 1 species
UAAAAUAUAUCUCUCUCUUCUUCUUCACAAGAAAACUCAUGCUGCUCACAUCUCUUCCUCUCGUUCAAUUAGUAAAACUGAAGCUUCAACAUCAUCUCUCUCUCUUUCGAUCAACUCACGGCUGGAGUUGCCGCCGCGUUCUGAAAAUCCGGCGAGGUUCGCCGCGUGGAGCUGCUGCCGCUGACUGCUGCUGUUCUGCUCUGGGCCGCGACCAGCGGCGCUUGGCCUUCGGCCGCGCCGCCCCGCUCCGCCUGAAGUCGCCGAGUCAGCCGUCGCCGACUGCUGCUGUCGCCGAGGAGUCCGCCGCUGCUGUUUCUCCUGUUGCAGAGCUCCGACAAUCCACCAUCCUUUCUCUCUCGUUUUAUCACUCACGAUAGGUUCGUAAAUUUGAAUUAAAAACUGAAACUCCUCUUUCCCUUUCUUGGCAGAUCGGAGACAACCGCGGCUCCGUCGCCGUCCGUCAACCGCCGGCGACGACGAGCCACCGAGGCUGCCCUCCCCCUGACCUCGACUCACACACGCAAAC